rnacentral:misc_RNA from 1 species
AACGCACGAGACCUGCGGACCUGCGGAGGGAUCAUUACAGAGUUCUUGGCAACUCCCAACCCUGUGAACUUUAUCUCUUGUUGUUGCUUCUGGCAGGCAGCCCCCCCCGGGGUGGCCUGCCAGCGGCGGCCUGCUCCAACCUUCUUUUGUAUUCUAGUCGUCUGAGUGAAAAAAAAAAUCAAUCAAAACUUUCAACAAUGGAUCUCU